AUGUCAUGCCAAAGUUUUCCGGGCUUUCCUUCCAUCCGCAUCGCCAGUUUUCCAGAGCCCGAAAGCCCCGGAGCCACGUGGGACCGCCCCUUGUGGGUGGGGAAAGGGGAGGAGCUAGUGUCCUGGAGUCAGUGGGCAGUAGGCACUGUAAUCCCAGGUCUCAGCGGAGGAUCCCAGGGAGCGGUCCCACUGACAGGAAGUGGUACUGCCUGCGUGAGCUCCUGGGAGCCUGGUCCAGAGCUUGAAACCCGGCAGCCAUUCCAUGUCUGUCUGAAUUCCACUAUUCAGAGAAAGAGACUCCAUAUCUCCCAGCCUUCCCAGAAAAAGGACUGCCACGCCUACCUGUAUUAGGGCUCUCCAGAGAAGCAGAACCAAUGUACAUACGGGGACAGCAGGGAGAGAUUUUAAGAACUGGCCCAUGCGAAUGUGGAAGCUGGCAAGUCUGCAAUCUCUGGGAACAGGCGCACUGGCUAGAAAUUCAGGUAAGAGUUGAUGUUGCCAUCAUGAGUCCAAAAUCCACAAAGCAGGCCAAACAGCCUGGAAACUCAGGCAGAGGGUCUGUGUUGCAGGACUGAGGAGAAUUCCUUCUUCAGGAAACCUCAGUCUUAAGGCCUUCAACAGAUUGCAUGAGGCCCACCCACAUUAUGGAGGGUAAUGUGCUUCAGUAAAAGCCUACUGAUUUAAAUGGUAAUCACGCCUAACAAACGCCUUCAUGGCAAUACCUAGACUGGUGUUUGACCAAACAACUCGGCACCACAGCAUAGCCAAGUUGACACCUAACAUUAACCAUCACACUGCCCCUGAACCAAUCCCUGUGACCGGGGAAAUGGAAUACACUCAUUCCCUUCCUGGCACCACCUGGAUUCCUGCUGGAACUGGAGUGGCGGGGAGCAGGCUAUAAACUGGGAAAGGGGAAAAUGCAUGCUGCAGAGACAGAUACAUCCAUGACAGAAACUUGCGCAGGGUUGUAGAGCUAUUCAUAGGGAAGCUAGAUUCCAACCCACUCCUGCCUUUGUUCCAUGCUGCUUCCGCAGUUAGACUGUCAGCUUAGGGCAACGAUUCUCGGCUUGGGUGAGGGGAGGGCAGAGGGAAAGGGGUCUACUAGGAUGCCUGGGGCGGGGUAACCUGAUAAAGCCAGUGGAUGCUAUCACAGGAAGGAGACUCCCGGGGUGCUCUGAGCAGAGGUUGUGUGAGAGCCCUACCUGCGAUUCUGACCCAGAAGAGCCAUCUCAGAGUUUCUGUAGUGAUUUGUGUUGUUGAGGAUGGAAACCACAGCAUCUCUGCGAGUUUCUAGAUAUGGAAAGCCAGGUGGGGAACCUGGUUUGGAGUGGCAGGAAGAGAACACAAAGGCUCAUCAUAAGCCCUUGAUAUAAAUGUGGGGGCUGGAGCCUGGUCAGGGGAGAAGGGUGUGUAGAGGGGACAAGAGGUGCCCAGCAGAUUCCAACCAAUCAGAAAAGAAACUCCCCGCAAGGAGAAAGACGGGUUACUUUUUAGGGAAGCCAUGGCCAGUCUUUUCCAUUUUAAGAUGGUGCCUGUGUUGUGCUGGUCUCUUUCCACCAGUUAACCAUUAGUAAAGUUUGCUAAACUCCACAGCCUUCUGUGUCUAAGGGGCGGUGAGGAAGGAAGGAUCGUUAGCAAGGUAGUCAAGCAGACGUGAGCAGGGCAGGAGAGGGCCCCUACAACCAGGAAAACAUCUGAAGCUGGUGAUUAGCAGCUUCCCGAUAAGAUCGGGUUGAGUGAGCUCAAGCAAACGCGGUAAGAGGCAAAAUGAUGGCGUUUAACUGGGAGAACGCCUCAACUGCGCAUGUGCACAGCCUCGGCAAACACAGUGCGUUGGUGGCCCCUCCCAAGUGCUGGCCGGCCACUGCGCUUCAGGACAGCCCACCCCAAGGGAAGAAUCUGGGGACAGGUAACACUGCCCCCUCCCUCAAAGCAUGCUAACGUGUAAGACCCCAAGUCAAAGGCCACACAGCACUUGAAUCUCUCCUGUCCCCGCUUGGCCCUCCUCCAAGUGUACUUCCUUUUGUUCCUGCUCUAAAACUUUUAAAUAAACUUUCGCUCGGCUCUAAAAGUUGCCUCUGUCUCUCACUCUGCCUUAUGCCCCUUGGUCAAAUUCUUUCCUCAGAGGAAGCGAGAACUGAAGUUGCUGCAGACCUGCGUGGAUGCACUGCCAUUAACGAGAUAGUGUUCAGGGUGGGGUGAAGCAUGCUUAUUAGAAGGGAUGGGCUGAAAACGCAGGAGUGGAGGCAGCGGGGUCAGGAAUCCUAGAGGUGAUCUGGAGCUGUGUGAGCAACUGCAAGGAACUUCAGGGACACCACAGGACCAGAGGCUUCAGGACACUGGAGGACAUAGGUAGCGGGUCCUUAAGUUAUAUGCUUUCAUAUUUGGGAAAUGGAAAAAAAAAAAAAACUAUUGAUUUUAUUAUACAAACUAUAGAAAAUAAUGACAAAACUUUUGGGAGGCUUGGGAUAAACUGAGUGCUUGGGCCUGGACACUUCCAUGUGGAAAUAUAUGUUCCCUGUGAUGGAGGUUGAUGUAUAUAUGAGUUCCAUGUUUUGGAAUUGUUAGUUUGAUUUUGAUUGAUUGAUUGGAUUGAGACAAGGGUCUCACUCUGUUGUCCAAGCUGGAGUGCUGUGGUGACUUCAUAGCUCACUACAGUCUCAAAUUCCUGGCCUCAAGCGAUCCUCCUGCCUCAGCCUCCCGAGUAGCUGGGAUUACAGGCACAUGCCACCACACCUGGCUAAUUUUUGUGUUUUUCGUAGAGACAGGGUUUCGCCGUGUUGCCCAGGCUGGUCUCAAACUCCUGGGCUCAAGAGAUCCACCCACCUUGGCCUCCCAAAGUGCUGGGAUGACAGGUCUCCGCAACUGUGCCUGGCCUCAUUAGUUUGAUUUUAAGUGAGAAUAUUAUUUUCUAUCUUACAGGAUACUCAUGAGGAUAAGAGAAGAAUGUGGAGGCCCCUGGAUACACAGAAGGACGCCAUUUCUUAUUGGACUCAGCUUUUCUCCAGGGAGCUCUUCUGUUGAAUUUUCUUUUCAGCAUUGGGUCCACCAGGGGGCAGAUGAAGAAAGGGCCUGGAGAUUUGACCAUGUCAUUGAGCACAGAGCUCCUCACUUUCAGACGUGGUAAAUACUGCUUCAAAGUCAGUUCAAGAAGAUGAAUAAGACUAGACAUUUUAGCUGCCCUUGCUUAACCCUUUUCCCCUUUCACAUAAAUGAUAUUCUUCCACAAUUUAUUCGAUCCAUUCCUGUCCAUUUCCCAUAAGGCAAAGUAUGAUUUUCUAUGAUGGAGAGGAAAAGAACUGAUGUCUCAAAUUUUCCCACUUUCUUAUAUAACUUCUUACAGCACUUACUAAUUAUUGGGUACACAGGAACAUCUCACUCAGCUUGGCAGUUUAAUGGAAGUUGUUAUCUGUCUUAAGCAGACCCAUUGUUCAACCUCUGUAACUAUGACACUGCAAAACAGACUUAACACAUCCCAGGAGGGCAGAGAUGGGGGAGCAGAGGAAAAUACUUUCUCUUCGAUGUUCUCUUUAAGAAAAAGAGAAAAUAAAAUCCAGAAAGGAAGUACUCCUCACCAUUUACAGUUAGAGGGCAGAAAGAUUUUUUGUAGCAAAUCACAAUGACAUUAGAUCUCUUCCUAUGUCACAUCCUUUUCAACAUUUCUUGGGUGCUGUUACCCGGCUGCUGAACUUAUUUGCUGUGUAAAUAAUGUUGUUUUACUUUUUCCAGACCUAACUGGCACUGCUCCUACCCAAGCUGCGAUCACACGGCUAAAUAGGUCUGGCCAGUACAUCAUGACCAUGCCAUGUCUCAUGCUUCAGAUUCCAUUCUCAGCUCCCUAAAGGGCCAGCAGAGUCUGGCGCUGGGACCCUGGCAGGAGCAUGCUAGCAAAAUUCAGGAUUUCUUUAGCCAAGGAAUGGCAGACUGCCAACCUGCAUAAGCAGUAACUUUACAACUGAAACGGAUGUAAAAAACCUGAGAAAGAGAAAAUGGAAGGACAUCCCAGAGAAAAGUGUUUUGUUUUGUUUUUUUUUUUAAGGAAAUAAGGACAGAAAAAUAAGAAAUAAAAUGUCUACAGCAGAGUCUUGUGUCUAUAACUCUCCCUCAAGCUGUGGUUGGAAAAGAACUUUCUGAAAAAGGUGUUCACCUCUGUAAUGAACGUGCUCACUCUGACAGCACUUUUGGUUGACCUGAGUGCACACGGCUGUGCGGCUGACCUUGUUCCGCCAGUGUCCUGACCUCAGCAGCCCUUACUGCUCAGGCAGGAAUGGACUCAGCAGAUGGUACCUGGCAGACAUGCCUCCCAGGUGAUGCAGGAACCUUCUUCAUAGAACCUACUCUAGAACGAAACCUCUGGCUGCUCCCCUGCACCUCACAGGCCAGCUGUCUCACCCCUCGUCAUUGAGCAUAAAGAUCAUUAUCACCCAGGCCACAAACAUGCCGUUUGUUUCCUGGGCUUAGAGAAUCAGGGAAGGCUUCUAAGGGAAGUGCCGUCUCCAAUCCUGUGGGAGCAGCCAGGCCAGGGUGAGAGUGCUCUGGGGAGGGAGGCCAGCUCUUCUGCAGUGAGCAAAAGUAGGAUGCACUUUGGGAACUGGAAUAACAAGUUAGGCAAGUGGCAAGAAAUUAGACCAGGUUCCCCACUCCUCAAAGUGUAGCACGAAGACCGGCAGCACUGGUGUUCCCGGGAAGCUUGUUAGAAAUGCCGAAUUGCUGAUUUAUUGAAUCAGAAUCUUCAUGUCAAGAUCCCCAGGUGGCUGGGCAAGGUGGUUCAUGCCUGUAAUCCUAGUACUUUAGGAGGCUGAGGCUGGAGUCGCGCCUGAACUCAGGGGUUUGAGACUAGCCUGG
rnacentral:lncRNA from 1 species